rnacentral:rRNA from 1 species
CACGUAGGGCGCGAGCGUUUGUCCGGAAUUAUUGGGCGUAAAGAGCUCGUAGGCGGCCUGUUGCGUCCGCUGUGAAAGCCCGGGGCUUAACCCCGGGUCGGCAGUGGAUACGGGCAGGCUAGAGGUAGGUAGGGGAGAAUGGAAUUCCCGGUGUAGCGGUGAAAUGCGCAGAUAUCGGGAGGAACACCGGUGGCGAAGGCGGGUCUCUGGGCCGAUACUGACGCUGAGGAGCGAAAGCGUGGGGAGCAAACAGG